rnacentral:misc_RNA from 1 species
CAGGUAUAAGAGGUAAAUUGAUCUUUCCUCCGAAACAAAACCUAUAUGACCUAAAAGCGGCCAUUGGAUCGUCUUGCAUUUUAGAAUGCUGUUUCCAAUGGUCACACGGGGCCCAUGUGACCAUAUGGCUUUAGCUCAUAAGUCAAUUAAUGACUGAGAUUGCCACUUACAGAAACCAUUAGAUGUGAUCUGCUGACCAUUCACUCAUCAGAGAACAGUCGCUCGCCAUUCACAUUCACUUUUCAUCCUAGUGACUUCGUG